rnacentral:misc_RNA from 1 species
AAGUCGUAACAAGGUCUCCGUAGGUGAACCUGCGGAGGGAUCAUCAAAGAAAAUAUAUAUAACACAAACUCCAAGUGUUAAAGAGAGAGGGGGGGGAAAUGUAUAUAGUGUUUGUUGGUCAUAUAUUAUGACUGACUAUAAUGCUGUUUCCUUCCUUCUUUCCUUCUCUCUUUAAUGCUUCAAACAAACGAUCACAACUAAAAAAGAAACAAAUUGGCUUGGUUACUACAUAUAAUGUUUGCCUGAUAAUCUGAUGAUUGGAAUUGGGGAAUAUAACAAAUACAACUUUCAACAACGGAUCUCUUGGCUCUCA